rnacentral:rRNA from 1 species
UGGGCUUGACAUUGAUAGAACCCUUUGGAAACAUAGGGGUGCCCUUCGGGAGCACAGAGAC